GGCGUCCGAUAGCCGGUCAAGAUUGACUGUUAAUCAAUUGGUCGUAGGUUCGAUCCCUACCGCC
rnacentral:tRNA from 1 species